rnacentral:tRNA from 1 species
ACCUUUGUAGUUUAUGUUAAAAUGCGACUUUGAAGAGGUUGAGAAAUUUUUGAGGUG